ensembl:lncRNA
CUGAACUAGUGCUACAUCGAGAACACAUGGAUCGACACUGCAAGGGUAUACUGGGUGUCCUAGAAGACUGCCGAACAGAAGUACAGGAGUUACUGAUCCAGCAAAAUAAUCUGACCGAAGACUUCCUAAGAUUUUACCUUUGCCACUAAUUCUGUAAAGUAAAUAAAUGAAACUGUUUAGUGGUAAUUCUGUGUACAGUUUAUACACAGUCUACUUAUUCUGCCCAUUUUUUUUUUCACAGGAUAAAUAAACUUCGUACCUCGCUUCAAACCAACCUGAACAAGCACAUCAGUAUCAUCCAGACUUUACAAAGAGACUUCAGACAGAAGACGGAGUUUACAUUGGAGGGCCUGAGGGAUGCAAAUGUUCAGAUAAUGAGAUCUUUCAAGUAUGUCAUUGAUAUUUUCUGAAUAAGUAAUUAUCAGUGUUGUGUUUUGUAGUGAAUUAGAUACAUAAAAUUUGAAUAUAUUAAUAAUCAUUGUUGUCUUUUUCACAAGAUUGUUUUCUGGGGGGGGGGGUGGACAAAGUGUCUGGAGCAGGUUGAGAUUUUCACCUCAUAAGUCGAUCAUAGUGAUCACACAUUAAGAUUUAUUAUUUUGACAGGAAGUUACAGUGAGAAUAAAUUUUUCCUCAGGCCAAAGACAAACUCAGGAAGUUUGAGGAGAAAAGCAGUUUCCUCGCUAUUGAUCUUAUGUUUCUUGAAAAAGUGCAACAAAUUUUUACAAACACGAGGGUCCAGAUCAAAAGCGAGGUAUUUUAAGUAUAUAAUUUACUCAUUUAUUUUCCAUCCCUUUGUCUGCCAUUCAUAAUCUGUUGAAUUUGUAUUAACCUGCUUAGGCAUGCAAAAGAGUAACAUGCAAAAAAAGACAAUUGACAGCAUGCUGACUAAUUUAAAGGAAAUGACUGCUAAGAAUGAUCAACCCAGCUCCGAUAAGAAGACUGUAACCAUAGUGGAGAUAACCAUUAACAACUUCUCUGAUGGAGGAACUAAAGAAGAGGUGUCAGUAUCUUGACUGCUUCUUGGAUGCCUCUAUGGCUGUCCCCCGAUUGAAGACUCUGCUUCAGGGGGCUUUUGCAGUUGCAGCUCAGCCCAGGUCCCGUAAACAGGGGAAAAAAGGCAGUCCAGAUGGAGAUGGUCUGCUCCAUUCUAGCGGCAUUGGAGUGUCCUUCCUGGAUGAUGCGGUGGUGGGGGUUAUCAAAGGCCUACUUAAGGUAGGCAAAGCACAACACCUCAAGGAGGCAAACGCUGACCCAAUAGAAAGACGCCCUUCAGCAGCAAGGCUAAACUCCCCUCUUGGAUCAGAUUGGAGGUCAGGAAAGAGCCCCAGUCAGUCUGGAAUAGAGACUCUGCGCAGAAAGUCAGUGGAGUCGGUGACCGCAGAGAGAAGGUUCUCCAAACCCAACCGCUUUGAUAAGAAGUUUCUUAUUUUUGGCUCAGAACCUGAAGAGCAGCAGGACAGGAGUUCUAUAAGAAGAAAGAGUGCCGCCCCAUUUCUUGGCCAUGAGCAACUGCAGGAGUCAUUUAAUCAGUCUGCAGAGGAGAUACACAAAAGACCUACCAUCUACCAGAGCCAGUCACAUGAUUACCACAACAGAUGGCUGCAAGAAUUUCAGCUGCAGUUGAAGGCCAUUGAGGAGUUUCUGUCCAGCGUACCAGAGAAGCUUUUUUCUAAACUAAUAGAUCGAUAUCUUGAGAAGCUGAUGCAAAGCAUGACACAAAUUCAACACCGGUUUCAACUAGCUCAGCAGCGGAGUGAACAAAAGAGGUGGGCUGCUGUCAUAGAGGGAACACAGUGGUCAGUUGCAUGUGCGUCUGAGCCAUCCAGCCUGUGA